ensembl:lncRNA
CCCCACCCCUCACAGAAGGAUUUUAUGCAGGGGCUCUGACUGCUGUGGAAUUGAGCGCCUAUAGUUGUGAGGAGGCAGUGACGUUCAGGGAUGUGGCCGUGGUCUUCAGUAAGGAGGAGAUGGGGCUGCUGGACGCUGCCCAGAGGAAGCUGUACCACGAUGUGGGCUGAAGAACCUCAGGAACCUCCUGGCAGUGGCAGCCUCCAGAUGAAGAUGUAGAACUCUCAGCUGCACCAUGCCUCCCUGGAUGCUGCCAUGCUUCUGCCUUGAUGAUAAUGGUCUGAACCUCUGAGCCUAUCAGCCAGCCUCAAUUAAAUGUUGUCC